UAGGGAAUCUUCGGCAAUGGGGGCAACCCUGACCGAGCAACGCCGCGUGAGUGAAGAAGGUUUUCGGAUCGUAAAGCUCUGUUGUAAGAGAAGAACGAGUGUGAGAGUGGAAAGUUCACACUGUGACGGUAACUUACCAGAAAGGGACGGCUAACUACGUGCCAGCAGCCGCGGUAAUACGUAGGUCCCGAGCGUUAUCCGGAUUUAUUGGGCGUAAAGCGAGCGCAGGCGGUUAGAUAAGUCUGAAGUUAAAGGCUGUGGCUUAACCAUAGUACGCUUUGGAAACUGUUUAACUUGAGUGCAGAAGGGGAGAGUGGAAUUCCAUGUGUAGCGGUGAAAUGCGUAGAUAUAUGGAGGAACACCGGUGGCGAAAGCGGCUCUCUGGUCUGUAACUGACGCUGAGGCUCGAAAGCGUGGGGAGCAAACAGGAUUAGAUACCCUGGUAGUCCACGCCGUAAACGAUGAGUGCUAGGUGUUGGGUCCUUUCCGGGACACAGUGCCGCAGCUAACGCAUUAAGCACUCCGCCUGGGGAGUACGACCGCAAGGUUG
rnacentral:rRNA from 1 species